rnacentral:rRNA from 1 species
AGAGUUUGAUCAUGGCUCAGGACGAACGCUGACGGUGUGCUUUAGACAUGCAAGUCGAACGAGAAAGCCCUUCGGGGUGAGCACAGUGGCGAACGGGUGAGUAACACGUGGGUAACCUGCCCCUCGCAGAGGGACAACCGGGGGAAACCCCGGCUAAUACCUCGUACGCUUGCCGGGCCGCAUGGUACUGGCAAGGAAAGGUAGCUUCGGCCAUCCGGCGAGGGAUGGGCCCGCGGUCCAUUAGCUAGUUGGUGGGGUAACGGCCUACUAAGGCGACGAUGGAUAGCUGGUCUGAGAGGAUGAUCAGCCACACUGGGACUGAGACACGGCCCAGACUCCUACGGGAGGCAGCAGUCGGGAAUCUUGCGCAAUGGGCGAAAGCCUGACGCAGCAACACCGUGUGGGCGACGAAGGCCUUCGGGUCGUAAAGCCCUGUUGUUGGGGACGAAGGACGAAGGGUUAAUAGCCCCUAGUCUGACGGUACCCUUCGAGGAAGCCCCGGCUAACUACGUGCCAGCAGCCGCGGUAAUACGUAGGGGGCGAGCGUUGUCCGGAAUUAUUGGGCGUAAAGAGCGUGUAGGCGGUUCGGUAAGUCUGCCGUGAAAACCUGGGGCUCAACCCCGGGCGUGCGGUGGAUACUGCCGGGCUAGAGGGUGGUAGAGGCGAGUGGAAUUCCCGGUGUAGCGGUGAAAUGCGCAGAUAUCGGGAGGAACACCAGUAGCGAAGGCGGCUCGCUGGGCCAUUCCUGACGCUGAGACGCGAAAGCAUGGGGAGCGAACAGGAUUAGAUACCCCUGUAGUCC